GCCGCAGUAGCUCAGUUGAUAGAGCGUGCCGUUGGUAACGGUAAGGUCGUGGGUUUGAUCCCCACCUGUGGCU
rnacentral:tRNA from 1 species